UAGCAAUACAUCCAGGUUGGAGUGGCGCAAGGGUGCGUAACACGUGGGUAAUUUGCCGUGAAGUUGGGGAUAACUCGCUGAAAGGCGAGCUAAUACCGAAUGUGAAUGUUGGGAGGCAUCUCCUGGCAUUCAAAGUUGGGGACCGCAAGGCCUGACGCUUCACGAUAAGCCCGCGGCCUAUCAGCUAGUUGGUGAGGUAACGGCUCACCAAGGCUAAGACGGGUAGCUGGUCUGAGAGGACGACCAGCCACACUGGAACUGAGACACGGUCCAGACACCUACGGGUGGCAGCAGUCGAGAAUUUUUCUCAAUGGGCGAAAGCCUGAAGGAGCGACGCCGCGUGGGGGAUGAAGGGCUUCGGCUCGUAAACCCCUGUCAUUUGCGAACAAACCUUACGUUCUAACAAAACGUGAGCUGAUUGUAGCGAAAGAGGAAGGGACGGCUAACUCUGUGCCAGCAGCCGCGGUAAUACAGAGGUCCCAAGCGUUGUUCGGAUUCACUGGGCGUAAAGGGUGCGUAGGUGGCAGGGUAAGUUUGAUGUGAAAUCUCCGAGCUUAACUCGGAAACUGCAUUGAAUACUAUCCUGCUCGAGGUUUGGAAGGGGGACUGGAAUUCACGGUGUAGCA
rnacentral:rRNA from 1 species